UACAGAGGGGGCAAGCGUUGUUCGGAAUUACUGGGCGUAAAGGGCGCGUAGGCGGCCUGCUAAGUCGAACGUGAAAUCCCUGGGCUCAACCCAGGAACUGCGUCCGAUACUGGUUGGCUUGAAUCCGGGAGAGGGAUGUGGAAUUCCAGGUGUAGCGGUGAAAUGCGUAGAUAUCUGGAGGAACACCGGUGGCGAAGGCGGCAUCCUGGACCGGUAUUGACGCUGAUGCGCGAAAGCCAGGGGAGCAAACAGG
rnacentral:rRNA from 1 species